rnacentral:rRNA from 1 species
UACGUAGGGUGCAAGCGUUGCUCGGAAUCAUUGGGCGUAAAGCGCACGUAGGCGGCAUUCUACGUCGGAUGUGAAAUCCCUCGGCUCAACCGAGGACGUGCAUCCGAAACUGGAACGCUCGAGUAUGGAAGAGGGUCGCGGAAUUCUCGGUGUAGAGGUGAAAUUCGUAGAUAUCGGGAGGAACACCAGUGGCGAAGGCGGCGACCUGGGCCAAUACUGACACUGAGGAGCGAAAGCCAGGGGAGCAAACGGG